rnacentral:sRNA from 1 species
AAUCAUUCUUUACCACUUUCUAAUCCUUUAAAAACGAUUGUAAACCAUGUAAACACU